rnacentral:lncRNA from 1 species
GAGUUUUUAAAAAAAAAAUCUAAAAUUCUCUCUGAAAUGGGAGGGGAGAGAGAGAUCUAGGCUCCGGUCUCCGUCGAUCCGAGCCCCGGUUGUCGGCCUCCCGCGCCCACGCGCUCACGCACCGUCGCCGAAUCCUCCCCGUACGGUGGUCAGAGGUUUAAAGAAACUCGCUUUCUGACGCAAAUAAAAGGUACGUCCUUUUCCUUUUCUAUUUCUCUACAAUAUUAGCAUGUAUUUAAAAAGAGAAAAGAAAAAAUAAUCACCUCAAUAUUCUUUCGUUUGACUGUUGAUUCUUAGUGUAAAAAUUUGUGUUCUGCUUUUUUAUUGCUUCCCCGUAACUGUUUACAAAUCUGAAGAAAGGCUUUAUUUCCUUUAGACUAUGCCUGUUUUCGGAAAGAAAUCUUUGAUUUCUUUCCUUGUUUGUUUCAGUUUACCUACUGUUGUUUCUUGCCCUAUUUGUCUAUUUAGUUUCCUAUUCUGUUCCAUUUUCUUUCCUGUGUCUGUUGGUUUCUUUGUCUUGCAGGUACCAAAAAAUCCGGCUAAGAUUGCGCUGUAGAUGCAAAUCUUGUCUGGUGACCACUAAACAGCCUCUGCUGCGAAGAUUUGGGCACUGAUAGAGGCACAAAGGUCGUCGGUGAUAACGUUUGGAGUGCCCGAAGGAUCUCGUGACCAUCAAUCUGACCGGCAUUAAUGAGGGCCAGCUGGGGUGACGUGAGGGGACAGGGCUAUUGAUGGCCCUUGCUUUGGGAGCUGGAACGGCUCUGACAUGGCGAAGCUUCUGGAACGGCUCUUACGGCGCUGGGGUUCCUAGGGUUUCCUGCUGGAUCUUUAAGUCAUUGGGCCUUUUGGGCCCGAGUGACUUGGGUCUAUUUGGGUCUAUUGGGUAGUGAUAUAAUCUGAUAUGGGUUGUAACCGGGUAUAGGGCUUUUGUAUUUGGGCUCAUGAGGUCUUGAGGCCUGUGUAUUGUAAA